rnacentral:lncRNA from 1 species
GGGAGAGUCUCUGCGUCCUCCAGCCCCCGCUUCCCUUCAUGUCGGAGAUCCCAAGCCCGCAGCGAAGUCCGCAAAGAGCUUUCCCCGACGCCUACGAGACCGGAAGUGCCUGGGCCCAGGUGGAGGAAGGACCCGCGCGGCCUCCUCCGCGCUCUCCCUGGGGUCCGUGCUCCUUCCGGCGUUUCUCCCGCGUCCUUCACCAUGGCAACUCGGGCGUUGGGAGCGCGGGCUGCGAGCCGAGUGGGUGGGGAGCCGCUGGGCUCUAUCCGCCAGCCCACGAGAAGUGACGAAGGAGCACCAUUGAAAGAGAAUUAGACAAACUGGAGUCUACUCAGAAGAGGCUGUUGGGAAUGGCCCUGGCACCACAUCCUGAGCAGGCAUGGCCGAUGGAAUGGGGAGAAGACUCAGGUGAGGCUUGAGUGUGUCCUCUGAUGACUGAAGAGCCUUGGGAGCAAGCAUCCUUCCUGCUACUGUGUGUUUGCUGGUUCCAAUGAUACAUAAUUUGUGCUUUUCGUAAUUAAAGUAUUAUCCUGUA